AGCGAACGCUGGCGGCAGGCCUAACACAUGCAAGUCGAACGAACCCUUCGGGGUUAGUGGCGCACGGGUGAGUAACACGUGGGAACGUGCCUUUAGGUUCGGAAUAACUCAGGGAAACUUGUGCUAAUACCGAAUGUGCCCUUCGGGGGAAAGAUUUAUCGCCUUUAGAGCGGCCCGCGUCUGAUUAGCUAGUUGGUGAGGUAAAGGCUCACCAAGGCUACGAUCAGUAGCUGGUCUGAGAGGAUGACCAGCCACAUUGGGACUGAGACACGGCCCAAACUCCUACGGGAGGCAGCAGUGGGGAAUCUUGCGCAAUGGGCGAAAGCCUGACGCAGCCAUGCCGCGUGGAUGAUGAAGGUCUUAGGAUUGUAAAAUCCUUUCACCGGUGAAGAUAAUGACUGUAGCCGGAGAAGAAGCCCCGGCUAACUUCGUGCCAGCCGCCGCGGUAUAC
rnacentral:rRNA from 1 species